AGUGAGUCAGAUGCCAUGAUUCUUCGACCUGAGACGGAUGUAGGCUAGGAUCUUCUUGCAAUCAAUUUUCAACUCUUCCAGGGGAUGUUUAUCUACUUGCCUGAUGCUUCAGGCUGUUCGAGAACUUCCAUUUACUGCUGGCCUUCGAGAUCUUUAUCCUUCUCAUUACCAGUUCCACUACAGGGUCACAGGAGAAUAGAGAGUGGGACUGAAGAAUGAGUGACACGAGGAAUUGUCACUAAGUGCCAACUGUGUGGCACUUGAAAGUCUCUGAACAUGGACGGGCUCUGUGUGAGCCUUAACCUCCACCUGGCAAUAGAUGAAG